CUGGAUAGUGAGCUCCAUGAGGGUGAUGACAACAUCUUGGAGUUAGAUAGUGGUCAUGGUUGCACAAUACUGUAGCCAGGUGUUUGGCAAUGACAUCCUUCCAUUCAAAGUGAGCAUCUGAAGAGCUGACGCCCCCUCAGAGGAGAUUAAGACACAGACAACACACAGAUGGAAGGGCAGCCACAUGAGGACACAGCAAGAAGGUGGCUAUCCACAAGCCAAGGGAAGAGGCCUCUAAAGAAACCAACCCUGCUGACACCUUGAUCUUGGACUUCCAGC